rnacentral:rRNA from 1 species
UACGGGGGGAGCAAGCGUUGUUCGGAUUUACUGGGCGUAAAGGGCGCGUAGGCGGCCAGCACAAGUCAGUUGUGAAAUCUCCGAGCUUAACUCGGAAAGGUCAACUGAUACUGUGCGGCUAGAGUGCAGAAGGGGCAACUGGAAUUCUUGGUGUAGCGGUGAAAUGCGUAGAUAUCAAGAGGAACACCCGUGGCGAAGGCGGCUUCCUGGGGGCCAUCCUGACACUGAGAAGCGAAAGCUAGGGGAGCGAACGGG